rnacentral:rRNA from 1 species
AAACCAACAGGGAUUGCCUCAGUAACGGCGAGUGAAGCGGCAAAAGCUCAAAUUUGAAAUCCCCCCGGGGAAUUGUAAUUUGAAGAUUGUGUUUUGGAGACGACCGUGUCUAUGUUCCUUGGAACAGGACGUCACAGAGGGUGAGAAUCCCGUGCGGCACGGCCACCGUCUCCUUAUAAAACACUCUCGACGAGUCGAGUUGUUUGGGAAUGCAGCUCAAAGUGGGUGGUAAAUUCCAUCUAAAGCUAAAUACAGGCGAGAGACCGAUAGCGAACAAGUACAGUGAUGGAAAGAUGAAAAGCACUUUGAAAAGAGAGUGAAACAGUACGUGAAAUUGUUGAAAGGGAAGGGCAUGCCGUCAGAUUGUCAAUGUGGGUAAGAAGCGGGGUAUAAAGACUGUGGAAUGUGGCCCUCGGGUGUUAUAGCCAUAGUUCAUCCCCCAUCUCUUUCCGAGGCCUGCUUUGAGGACACCGACGUAAUGACGGUACGCCGC